UCGAGUGAUGCGCAAAUCAAAAUGACUAGUUUUUUUUAUUUAAAGUAAUACCAUCGUAUUUAUAAUUAUACACAUAAAUACUCAGUUGAAAUUGCCUUUGUUUGUAACCAGUGCCGGCUUAGCACAUGUGUUAGGGGUAUUUUCUUUUUGCAUCGUAUCAACGAAUCUAAUCAAUGUUUGAGCCGGACCUUUUUGUAACAAUUUAUAAAUUUCUCGAAAAUUUGCAUCACAAGUAGACUAAUUCAUUUUAGUUAAGUCCUAUGUUUGUUUAUUGAGAAGAUGUUACAUAUCGUUGAUGUAGAAAACCGCGUUUUCACAGCACACAAAAGUUUUAUUUAUCUAUUCACCCAACGUUUGAUUUUGUCAUGCUUCAGUUUUUAUAUAUACAUGUACACUACUUGUAGACAUGGGAGGGAGAAGAACAAUAUAUGAUCAUGAAGAAAACAACAACACAAACUUUUCUUCUUCUGUGUUUGCUAUGUCUAUCCUUUCAGGUUCGUCUCCACCAAGAUGUCAUAUUUAUUGAGAUGGGAUAUUGUGAUUGUGCCGUGACGCGAUCGUGAAGGGGCUCUAAGGAUUUUUAUUUGGUGCAGACGUUAACAUGUGACCACACUUUGAUCUAUAUAUAUGGUCCUCUCCUUUUGACAUUUUCUUAAUUUACCCUGUUUAUCGUUGAUCAAGCAUUCAUACAUUCAUGUCGAAAAGUGAUCAAUUUAAAAACAUUUGUUUAUAUAAAGACAAUUUAACCAAAAUGAAAAUCAAGGGUUUUUAA